CCUCCUUAUACGAUUUAGAACUUAUUUGUUCGUAGUGUCCACACAGAUGAUUGUUAAUUAGUUAAGCCACUGGCUUAGUUAAUUAAUAUGCUCUUUAAAAAUUUGGAAAAGCUGAUAAUAAAAUUCGUAUGAAUAACAUUGUUAUUUGUACAGAGUUUUCAAAAGUAAAAAAGAAUGAUAGCAGUAUCAUUCAGUGCCAUUUAAUCACUCUUUGAGUCGAUUGAUUGGUAUCUACUUUAGUAUUCAAUAUUAACUUCUGGCGAAGUUAAACUGUCACAAAACGAAGACCCGUUUGGGUUGUAUGGUUAAGUGACUAAGCGUACACGGUGGAUGCCUUGGCAGUUGGAGGCGAUGAA
rnacentral:misc_RNA from 1 species